UAAGCAGUCCUUGUUCUGGGUCUCAUGCGGUUAGGAGUCAGACACUGGCUGGGGCUGGGUUCAUCAGAUCACUGCACUAUUCUUUUAUUUAUCAAAUAUUUAUUGACUCUCUAUUUUGUGUGAAGCGCCGCUAAGCGGUGAAGAUACAAUAGUUAUUACAGCAUAAUUCUAGUCUCCUUGGGACAGGAUGCCAUCUUUAAGAAUCUCAGUAGGUGGAAACCCACUCUCAGGCAAGGGACUGAAACUCGCCAGAUUGCUACUCCCAGACAACGAGAAGACAGACCCCUCAUUUGUCGUGAUUACUUCCUUAUCUCUCCUUCAAUCCUUCCUGCAUGUAGCUACCUUCCUUCCCCCACCGUACAAACCCCCCAAGUCGGGGGGAUGAAUUUGAGACUCCUCUCCCAUUCUCCUUGUUGACAUCACCUGAACAAAGCCUUUCUUUCCUGGCGAUACUCAUUGUCUCAGCGAUUGGCUUUCUGUGCAGUGAGCAAUGGGACCUAGACUGAAUGCCUGGUGCUCUGGUAACAAUUACAUAAGUCUAUUCUAUAAGAAAUGCCAUUACUAUAUAUUUCCAUAUCAUCUAUUUAAUAAAUACCAUUAUUAUUCCA